AUGGAGAGCCCGGGCGGUGGCGCCGAGGCGCGCGCGCGCUCGAGGCAGUACGACUACGGCGCCAACUCCAACCUCGUCGUCAACACCGGCUCGCGCCCCCGCGACGCGCAUCACGAGCCCACCGGCGAGCCGCAGACGCUCAGCGGCAGGAUCCGCGCGAGGAGCUUCGGCGACCGCGCCGUCCGGACCAGGCCUCCCGGGCUAGAGGAGAAGCGAGGCAGGUCCCGCGGGAAGAAGGCGCGCGACGCGGCCUCCGCCGACCUCCCCCACCGGGACGCCAAGCGCAUGCGCCGCGGCUCCGUGCGGCCAGAGGACAGCGUGCUCUCGCUCGCCCACGACGCCCUCUACAUGCCCCGGACCAGGGAGACGCGCACCGCCUACGAGGCGCUGCUCAGCGUCAUCCAGCGGCAGCUCGGCGGGCAGCCCCUCGACGUGCUUGCGGAUGCCGCGGACGAGGUGCUUGCCGCUCUCAAGGACGACAGGGUCUGGAACCCUGACAAGAAGAAGGUGAUAGAGAAGCUCAUCAACCCUGUCUCGGAUCAGAUGUUCGGCCAGCUCGUCUCCAUUGGGAAGCUCAUCACGGAUUUCCAUGAUGCGGCCGGCGAUUCUGCCGGUGUGCCUUCUGCUGAUGGCACAGACAUGCCACUCGAUGAUGAUAUUGGCAUUACUGUUGAGUUCGAAGAUGAUGAGGAUGAGGAGAGUAACAUUUAUCAGGUGCAAGAUGAGCUGGAUGAUGAGAAUGAAGAUGACCUUGUCGAGUUGAACGUUCCUGGAACUAUGCAAACGGAUGGUGAGUUGUAUGACGAUGAUAUGCAGAGCUGCAACAAGGGUCUGACUUUAGACGUGCAAGAUAUUGAUGCUUACUGGCUUCAGAGGAAGAUAUCACAAGCAUAUGAAAAUAUUGACCCCCAGCAUAGCCAGAAGCUUGCCGAGGAGAUCUUGAAGGUGAUCGCCGAGGGUGAUGACAGAGAUGUCGAGAAUCGGCUUGUCACGCUGCUGGACCACGAGAAUUUUGAUCUCAUUAAAUUGCUGCUUCACAACCGACUCAAGAUAGUUUGGUGUACCUUCUUAGCCAGGGCUGAAGAUCAGGAACAGCGGAAGAAGAUAGCCGAAGAGAUGAUGAGUGACCCAAGAUUAGCUCCAAUUUUGGAGCAGCUACAUUCAACGAGAGCAUCUGCAAAGGAGAGGCAGAAGAAUCUGGAGAGAAGUAUCAGGGAUGAGGCUAAGAGGCUCCUCAACAAUGACAGUGCUGGUACUGAUGGUGCGAGAGAUAGUAAGGCAGUUGAUCGGUAUAUCGAAAGUGGAUGGUUGAAAGGCCAGAGGCAGUUGCUUGAUCUUGAUAACCUUUCUUUCCACCAAGGCAGUCUCUUGAUGUCCAACAAAAAAUGUGAACUUCCUCCAGGAUCAUUCAGAACCCCUCAGAGGGGUUAUGAGGAAGUCCAUGUGCCAGCGCUGCGACCUCUGCCAUAUGAAUCUGCAGAGAGGAUCGUGAAGAUAUCUGAUAUGCCAGAGUGGGCCCGACCAGCUUUUGCUGGGAUGACGCAACUUAACAGAGUUCAGAGCAAGGUUUAUGAUACUGCCCUUUACAAACCAGAUAACAUCCUUCUCUGUGCUCCAACGGGUGCUGGGAAAACCAAUGUGGCUGUGCUUACAAUUCUUCAGCAGAUUGGUUUGCAUAUGAAGGAUGGUGAAUUUGAUAAUACAAAGUACAAAAUUGUCUAUGUGGCCCCGAUGAAAGCUUUGGUUGCUGAAGUUGUUGGAAAUUUGUCAGCGCGGCUGAAAGAGUACAAUGUCACUGUUAGUGAGCUUAGUGGAGAUCAGAACCUGACCAAACAACAGAUUGAUGAGACACAGAUAAUUGUCACUACACCUGAGAAAUGGGAUAUUGUCACAAGGAAAUCAAGUGAUAGAAUCUAUACUCAAAUGGUAAAGCUUCUAAUCAUUGAUGAGAUCCAUCUACUCCAUGAUAACAGAGGGCCUGUUCUGGAGAGUAUUGUUUCUAGAACAGUACGGCAGAUUGAAACGACCAAGGAACAUAUCCGCCUAGUUGGCCUCUCUGCAACUCUCCCAAAUUAUGAAGAUAUUGCGGUAUUCUUGCGUGUUCGCUCAGACGGUCUCUUCCAUUUUGAUAACAGUUACCGACCUUGCCCUCUAGCUCAACAGUACAUCGGGAUCACAGCGAAGAAGCCACUGCAGAGGUUUCAGUUGAUGAAUGAGAUUUGUUAUGAGAAGGUUAUGGCUGCUGCUGGUAAGCACCAAGUGCUUAUAUUUGUGCACUCGAGGAAGGAGACAGCGCAAACUGCUCGUGCCAUCAGAGACACUGCGUUGGCUAAUGACGUGUUGCCUCGCUUUCUGAAGGAUGACAGUGCAAGUCAAGAGAUCCUUUGUGCUCAUGCAGAACUUGUCAAAAGUAGUGACCUUAAAGACCUUUUGCCAUAUGGGUUUGCUAUUCAUCAUGCUGGGUUGGCAAGGGUAGACCGUGAACUUGUUGAGAAACUUUUUGUUGAUAAGCAUAUACAGGUCCUUAUUUCGAUAGCCACCCUCGCAUGGGGUGUCAAUCUACCUGCGCACACUGUUAUUAUAAAGGGUACCCAGAUUUACAAUUCAGAAAAGGGCGCUUGGACAGAACUAAGUCCACUAGAUGUCAUGCAGAUGCUUGGUCGUGCAGGCAGGCCUCAGUAUGACACACAUGGAGAGGGUAUAAUCUUAACAAGCCACAGUGAAUUGCAAUACUACCUGUCUCUUAUGAAUCAACAGCUGCCUAUUGAGAGUCAGUUUAUAUCCAAACUGGCCGAUCAGUUAAAUGCAGAGAUUGUUUUAGGAACUAUUCAGAAUGCCCAGGAGGCAUGCUCAGAGAGAACACUAGAUGAAAGGAGAGCCGACUUGGUACACUCAGCUGCAAAUCUGUUGGAUAGGAACAAUUUGAUAAAGUAUGAUAAGAGAACUGGAUACUUUCAGGCUACUGACCUGGGGAGGAUUUCUAGUUAUUACUAUAUUAGUCACAGGACUAUUUCAACUUACAACGAGUACCUGAAGCCUACCAUGGGUUAUAUUGAGCUGUGCCAAUUGUUCUCUCUUAGUGAAGAAUUUAAGUAUGUUAGUGUCAGAAAAGAUGAGAAGAUGGAGCUGGAAAAGCUUUUGGAUCGUGUGCCAAUUCCUGUGAAAGAGAGCUUGGAGGAGCCCAGCACAAAGAUCAAUGUUCUGCUGCAAGCAUAUAUUUCUGGGCUUAAGCUAGAGGGUCUCUCCCUUGGCUCUGAUAUGGUCUAUAUCAAACAGAGUGCUGGUCGCCUCUCACGAGCAAUAUUUGAGAUAGUUUUGAAGAGAGGAUGGUCUCAACUAGCAGAGAAGGCUCUGAAUCUUUGCACGAUGAUUGAUAAGCAGAUGUGGAGUGUCCAAAAUCCUUUGCGCCAGUUUCCUGGCAUUCCAAAUGAAAUCCUGAUGAAACUGGAGAAAAAGGAAUUGGCUUGGGAGAGGUAUUUUGACCUAUCAUCACAGGAAAUCGGCGAGCUGAUCCGUUAUCCCAAGAUGGGGAGGCGUUUACACCAGUGCAUCCACCAGUUACCAAAGUUGAACCUUUCAGCCCAUGUUCAACCUAUUACUCGUACAGUUUUGGGUUUUGAGCUGACUCUAACAGCUGAUUUCCAGUGGGAUGAUAAGAUACAUGGAUAUGUUGAACCUUUUUGGAUUCUAGUCGAGGACAAUGACAGCGAGUGCAUUCUUCACCAUGAAUACUUCAUGCUUAAGAAACAAUGGCUGAAUGAAGAUCAUACACUUAAUUUCACAGUGCCAAUAUAUGAGCCACUGCCCCCUCUGUACUUUAUACAUGUCGUAUCUGACAAGUGGCUUGGAUCUUGGACAAUUCUUCCAGUCUCAUUUAGGCACUUGGUUCUUCCAGACAAACAUGCUCCACCAACCGAAUUGCUUGAUCUGCAACCACUACCUGUUACUGCACUGAGGAAUGCACGAUAUGAAGGCCUUUAUAGUGCCUGGAAACAUUUCAACCCCAUUCAGACUCAAGUGUUCAGUGUCUUGUAUAACAGUGAUGAUAGUGUUUUGGUUGCUGCGCCAACAGGCAGCGGGAAGACCAUAUGUGCGGAGUUUGCGAUACUAAGGAACCAUCAAAAGGCAGUAUCUGGUGAAAACAACAUGCGAAUUGUGUAUAUAGCGCCUAUUGAAGCUCUGGCGAAAGAAAGAUACAGGGACUGGGAGAUGAAAUUUGGAGAAUUCGCCUGUGUAGUUGAGCUAACUGGUGAAACUGCACGUGAUUUGAAGCUUCUUGAUAAAGGGGAGAUUAUUAUUAGCACUCCUGAGAAGUGGGAUUCACUCUCACGCCGGUGGAAACAGAGGAAACACAUCCAACAGGUCAGCUUAUUCAUUGUCGAUGAGCUUCACCUAAUUGGAUCUGAGAAGGGACAUGUUUUGGAUAUCAUUGUUUCAAGGAUGAGGCGUAUUGCAAAUCAUACCUGCAGCAACAUCCGGAUCGUAGCGCUUUCAGCAUCACUUGCGAAUGCUAAAGAUCUCGGAGAGUGGAUUGGUGCCACCUCUCAUGGCCUUUUCAAUUUCCCUCCAGCAGUGCGGCCGGUACCUUCAGAAAUACACAUUCAGGGUAUGGACAUAGCAAACUUUGAGGCAAGGAUGCAAGCAAUGGCAAAGCCUACGUACAAUGCUAUCAGACAGUAUGCAAAGCAUGGUAAGCCUGCCCUGGUAUUUGUACCAGCAACGAAGCAUGCAAGGUUUACUGCGUUGAACUUGUGCACAUACUCAAAUGCUGAAGGUUGUGGAACACCUUUCCUUCUUGGGUCAGAAGAUGAGAUGGAUACGUACACGAGGUGUGUCAAUGAAGAAACGCUUGUAAAUACGCUGAAAUGUGGUGUAGGCUACUUGCAUGAGGCUCUAAGUGAUCUUGAUCAGGAAGUUGUGACUCAGCUGUUCCUUUGUGGGAAGAUCCAAGUGUGUGUCGUGAGCAGCACAAUGUGCUGGGGAAGAUCACUGCCUUCCCAUUUGGUUGUUGUGAUGGGAACACAGUAUUCUGAUGGGUGGGGCAGUGUCACUGACUAUCCAGUCAGUGAUCUGCUACAAAUGAUGGGUCAUGCCAGCAGGCCUCUUCAAGAUAACUCAGGGAAAUGUGUUAUAUUGUGCCAUGCACCUCGCAAGGAAUACCACAGGAAGUUCCUUUCAGAGGCCUUCCCUGUUGAGAGCCAUCUUCACCAUAAUUUGCAUGAUCAUAUGAAUGCUGAAGUUGUUUGUGGUGUUGUAGAAAACAAGCAAGCUGCUGUGGAUUAUCUUACUUGGACUUUCAUGCAUGUGUCUGAUCAUCUUUCUGAGCUAGUGGAGACAGUAUUGGACGACCUUGAGUCAAGCAAGUGUGUGGUUAUAGAAGAGGAUACGUUUCUGAAGCCCCUCAACCUUGGUCUCAUAGCCUCGUACUACUACAUCAGCUACAAGACUAUCGAACGGUUCAGUUCAAUGAUAACCCAGAAGACUAAGAUCAAAGGUCUCCUGGAGAUUCUAGCUUCUGCAUCAGAAUAUGCAGAGCUUCCAAGUUGCCGAGGUGAGGAAGAAUCCAUUGAGACGCUAGUUCGUCACCAGAGAUUUUCUGCUGAGAAUUCUAAGAAUGAUGAUGUACACAUCAAGGCGAACGCGCUGCUGCAAGCACAUUUCUCGAGGCAAACGGUUGUAGGGAACCUGGCAGCCGACCAACGGGAGAUACUCCUUCCUGCACCUAGAUUGAUCAAGUCAUUGGUUGAUGCAAUGGAGCUUAGUCAGAUGGUGACACAAGGCAUGUGGGAUCGUGAUUCUGUGCUGCUUCAACUCCCCCACUUCACCAAGGAAUUAACUGGGAGAUGCCAGGAAAAUGGCAUUGAUAACAUCUUUGAUCUUGCUGAGAUGAGCGCAGACAAGAUGCAGAAUCUGCUGCAGUUACCAAACUCUCAGCUUAAGGACAUCAUCGGAUUCAUCAAACGGUUCCCGGAUAUCGAAAUGGCAUAUGAAGUCCUUGAAGGUGAUGAUAUUAGAGCCAGUGGCAAUGUAACUUUGCAGGUUACUCUAGAGCGUGACAUGACGAACUUGCCUUCUGAGGUUGGGCCAGUUAAUGCCCCGAGGUAUCCUAAGCCCAGGCAGGAAGGCUGGUGGCUCGUGAUUGGUGAUAGCUCCAGCGACCAGUUGCUGGCAAUCAAGUGGGUUGCAGUGCUGCAGAGGGCUCGCCUGAAGCUUGAGUUCAUCGCUCCCGCAGAAGCAGGGAAGAAGGAUUUCAUGGUUUUCUUGAUGUCAGAUUCCUAUCUGGGCAUUGAUCAGGAAUACGUGUUCACUGUGAACGUGAAGGAUGCCGGAGGGGAUUGA
rnacentral:rRNA from 1 species